rnacentral:lncRNA from 1 species
GGGAAGGAGAAUGGAAAAUAGAAGCAAGCUGAUCCCUUGGUUGCUUCCUGUAAGAGAUUAAAGAGGAGGGAAAGAAAACAAGAGAAGAUGAGAGGACCCAGACAACCUCAGUGAAACAGAAUGGUGACAUAAGAGAGGAGAAAAAGUAUUGGUUUUCAUUUCAAGACAGGUAUGUACUGUUAUUACCAUCAUUUUAUGAUAAGAAGACUGAAUCUCAGAGAUCACUCUGAGGCCAAACAGUCCAGCUUCACAUUAUAAGUGAAAGUUCAUUAUGACCUAAUCCUGACCUAUCAGAGAACAAAACCACAAGAGAAUGAAUUUAUACCAUCUCUUGGCAAAAAUGGGAUCAAGGAUGAUAAGGCAAGAAGGCCCUUGCUUAUGCUGACACUGUGAACUUGGACUUUGAAGACUCCAGAACUGAGG